rnacentral:sRNA from 1 species
UGGAGAUAGUUUCAUGAACAGUCCAUAAUCUUAUAUAUUGUUAAAAUGAUGUUUUAUUCAAGAAUUUAAAUGAAUUCAUUUCUAAAAGAUUCCGCACUAUAUCAUCCAAAAAUGAUGUCUGUAAGUUGUAAAGGUAGUAGAAUCGUAUAUAUGAAAGUUGACCAACUCUCUCUAUAUGAUUGAGACAUCGUUACUUUAGCAUUUGCCAUGUAUCUAUUAAAUAAUUAAUGUAAACUCUUCAACUUUUAACUUAUAUGUUAGUGAUAUAUUUAUUAUUUAAUUUUACAUAUUAUAUUAU